CCGGGGGCGGGCCACAGGGAGGCGGCCGGAGGCGCGGGGCGAGCCGGCGCCCUCGCAGCCCGCCCCGGCCGCCGCGGCCCCGAGGCGAUGGAGCAGGAGAAAUAUCUGCCCGAGCUGAUGGCCGAGAAGGACAGCCUGGACCCCUCCUUCGUCCACGCCAUGCGCCUCCUGGCCGACGAAAUUGAAAAAUUUCAGGGUUCUGAAGGCAAGAAGGAAGAUGAAGAAAAGAAAUACCUUGAUGUUAUCAGCAACAAAAACAUAAAGCUGUCAGAAAGAGUUCUGAUCCCUGUCAAACAGUAUCCAAAGUUCAAUUUUGUUGGGAAAUUGCUUGGACCAAGAGGAAACUCCUUGAAGAGGUUACAAGAAGAGACAGGCGCAAAAAUGUCUAUCCUGGGGAAAGGCUCCAUGAGGGAUAAAGCUAAGGAGGAAGAACUAAGGAAAAGUGGAGAAGCCAAAUAUGCACACUUGAGUGAUGAGCUUCAUGUAUUAAUUGAAGUGUUUGCUCCACCUGGGGAAGCAUAUUCUCGUAUGAGUCAUGCCUUGGAAGAAAUAAAAAAAUUCCUCGUUCCUGAUUAUAAUGAUGAAAUUCGUCAAGAGCAGCUGAGAGAACUGUCAUAUUUGAAUGGUUCAGAGGAUUCAGCGCGUGGACGGGGCAUUCGAGGAAGAGGAAUCCGUGUGCCACCUGCCGCUCCUUCAAGGGGCCGUGGGGGUGCGAUUCCUCCACCCCCACCUGGACGAGGUGCCCAAGCACCCAGAGGAGCCCCGGUGACGCGUGGAGCACUCCCAGUCCCUCCAGUAGCGAGGGGCGUUCCCACCCCGCGGGCACGGGGCGCUCCGGCUGUCCCCGGCUACAGACCACCCCCGCCACCUUCACAUGAGGCCUACGAAGAAUACGGAUACGAUGAUGGAUAUGCGGGUGAAUAUGAUGAUUCAAGCUAUGAGGCAUAUGACAACAGUUAUGCCACCCAAACACAAAGCAUGCCUGAGUAUUAUGACUAUGGUCACGGAACAAGCGAAGAGGCUUAUGACAGCUACGCACAAGAAGAAUGGGCCACAACCCGUUCCAGUUUAAAGGCACCACCUCCAAGGGACUCACAGGCUUUGGACAGCUAAGUAGCAGAUCUGCUGAGAAGUGUUCAGGCAUGAACAGCAAUUGCAAGACAGCUAACCUGAAGACAUUCAACUGCCUUUUGCUACAUGAAGGUCCUGUUUUCCUCCCUUUGGCAAUUAUACCAAUGUCCUGGAAGAAUUCUCUAAUGCUGACUAACAUCUUCUAUUUUACAUCUGCAAGUAUGGUAGUCUAUAGGUAUUUUAGUAAAUUUUGUUAUUGGUUGUAGUCCCAUUAAGUUUCUGAGGUUCUUAAAUUGCUUCUUGGAGUUUAUUUGUCCUAUAACUCAGGGUAUAAAAGUAGCCCCAUAAACAUUAAUUGAACAGCCAUUAAGCAGUAUGGCUGUUUGUUUUGGGUUGAUAGAGGACAUAAAGCUUCAUACCCUGUGGUGGAAAACAAUUAGAUCUGAUGAUGAACAUGCUAUUAAAUAUACCAUUACCAGACCUCUAUCAGUUUAACUUUACAAAAUAGCAACCAGCUGUAGCCAAACCAUGCACAAGCAAAAGAAAGUCAUAUUUUAAUUGUUAUGUCAUAGCCUGUUAUAAAUAUUGUAGAGUUUCUAAUGUUUUAUGCUAAUGACAGUGACUAAUGGCAGUCAUUAUCUCCAUUCAUUCUCAUAAAAAAUUUCCUCAAGAGAGACUGAUCAUAACUAGAAUGCUAUUUAAAAUUAAACUGUGUUUUUCUAAAAUAGAGACUAUAAAAACACUUAAAUACCAAGAGGUUGGCUAGCUAAUUUAUUUUGUUUUGAGUAUGUUUGACAACUACAGCUGUUAUUAACCGUGCCAUGAGUUGAACUGAUAAUCCUUUUUAGAAAUGUUUUUGGCUUACUAACAUGCAUAUACAUGUCAUGUCUUUGUGUGCUUCCUGCAGAGUGGGACAAAAGGUGAACCUCAUAACGCCCAGAACCUGUGGCCAGAAAAAAAUCUGAUGUUGCCCCUGUAAAGGCUUAGUAUUGAGAAUAUUGAAUUUCUUCAUCCGUUUCAUAUUUCAGUUAUGAAUUCUGCUUACUUGACAGGUACAGGGCACUUCAUUAUGUGCAGGAACUGAAAUGCUUAAAUGGAUGAAGCAGCUAUUUACGUCUGAUAGGAGCUAAGUGGGACAUUAAAUUAAUGCCAAACAAGUUAGUGUGACUUUAAUCAAGAAAAAAAAUCGAAUGAACAGCAAUUUGAAAUACAGCAUUUGGAAAGGUCAAAAUGG